UACGGAGGGUGCGAGCGUUGUCCGGAAUCACUGGGCGUAAAGGGCGCGUAGGCGGCCUGAUAAGUAGGGGGUGAAAUCCUGCGGCUUAACCGCAGGGCUGCCUUCUAAACUGUCAGGCUUGAGCACAGUAGAGGCAGGUGGAAUUCCCGGUGUAGCGGUGGAAUGCGUAGAGAUCGGGAAGAACAUCCGUGGCGAAGGCGGCCUGCUGGGCUGUUGCUGACGCUGAGGCGCGACAGCGUGGGGAGCAAACAGG
rnacentral:rRNA from 1 species